UCCCAAUGAAGAAAGAAACCUUGUCUUACUGUCUGUCCUGGUGCCAGAACCUGCAAAGGUUGAACCCACUGGGGCCAGCAGAAGGAAAAGAGGAAUCUCUGCUCCAGAGGGAGUUGUCUGAUGGGAC